GAGGAUUUUUGCUCUUUAGAAAUUUGUCUAGAAGGUUUCUCUUAAAGAGAAGCCCCC
ensembl:snRNA U7 U7 small nuclear RNA